rnacentral:rRNA from 1 species
CCGGCGACCGGCGGACGGGUGCGUAACGCGUAUGUAACCUACCUUUGACAGGGGGAUAACAUCGAGAAAUUGGUACUAAUACCCCAUAACAUCACCGGAGGCAUCUUCGGUGGUUGAAAACUCAGGUGGUCAGAGAUGGACAUGCGUUGUAUUAGCUAGUUGGUGAGGUAACGGCUCACCAAGGCGACGAUACAUAGGGGGACUGAGAGGUCAACCCCCCACAUUGGGACUGAGACACGGCCCAGACUCCUACGGGAGGCAGCAG